AGAUAAAAAUAAAGAAGUUAGAGAAACUUCUGGUCAACUCACAACACACUGCAUGUUUUUAGUAAAAUGAAAAACCUAAAAACUGGGAAACAAAAGCACUCGAAUGCAAAGGAACAUGAUACAUGGUGGAAAAAUACUGCCUUUCUGUCAUGGUCGCCGCUCCGUUUCCUCAUCAAGCUCAUCUGCUCCACCUGGGCCUCCUUGAUUACACAUCACUCCCACCUGCCCGCUCUCCUACUUAAACCCUCUCUUGUCUCUGCUUCCCUGCCAGAUGGUCAGCAUUGUUCACCUUGUUGAUAUCCAGCAUUUUCUCUUGCCUUUUGAUUCCUGUGAACAACCCUGUUUUGUCCCUCGGAUUCCCUUGCGCCUGAUUCCACGUCAGACUUUUCCUGCCCAUCGCCUGUCUGGACAUCAACCCUGCUUUGGAAAAACCUCUGAGCCCUGCCCAACCCUGAUAACAGCUCUGGCCAAAGCCAAACAUGCUGAUGCACAGGAAGGUGAAUCUCCCUUUGAAGAGCCACUCACACAAAGCGGAGGAUCAUUUUGGAAAGACGCCUCGCCGGACAAAGACUAAAUAUAGACUUCCCUGUUUGACCAACUAACAAGGAUGUUUUGAGCUGGGCGAUGACCCGGAGAGAAGUGAUGAUAAGCGGCAGAGGAGGAGUUUGCUUUUUCAAAUGGAGAUAAAAGAGUUUGCUGGUGAAAAGAGGCUUUACCAA